GUGACCGUAGUUCAGUUGGUAGAGCGCCAGAUUGUGAUUCUGGUUGUCGCCGGUUCGAGCCCGGUCGGUCACCCCA
rnacentral:tRNA from 1 species